rnacentral:rRNA from 1 species
AGUGAACGCUGGCGGUAGGCCUAACACAUGCAAGUCGAACGGCAGCACAGUAAGGGCUUGCUCUUACGGGUGGCGAGUGGCGGACGGGUGAGGAAUACAUCGGAAUCUACUUUUUCGUGGGGGAUAACGUAGGGAAACUUACGCUAAUACCGCAUACGACCUACGGGUGAAAGCAGGGGAUCUUCGGACCUUGCGCGAUUGAAUGAGUCGAUGUCGGAUUAGCUAGUUGGCGGGGUAAAGGCCCACCAAGGCGACGAUCCGUAGCUGGUCUGAGAGGAUGAUCAGCCACACUGGAACUGAGACACGGUCCAGACUCCUACGGGAGGCAGCAGUGGGGAAUAUUGGACAAUGGGCGCAAACCUGAUCCAGCCAUACCGCGUGGGUGAAGAAGGCCUUCGGGUUGUAAAGCCCUUUUGUUGGGAAAGAAAAGCAGCAGGUUAAUACCCCGCUGUUCUGACGGUACCCAAAGAAUAAGCACCGGCUAACUUCGUG